GUGGGGAAUAUUGGGCAAUGGGGGAAACCCUGACCCAGCGACGCCGCGUGAGGGAAGACGGCCUUCGGGUUGUAAACCUCUUUGUACGGGAAGAAGGAAGUGACGGUACUGUACGAAUAAGUCCCGGCUAACUACGUGCCAGCAGCCGCGGUAAUACGUAGGGGACGAGCGUUGUCCGGAAUUACUGGGCGUAAAGGGCGCGCAGGCUGUGCGGCAAGUCAGCUGUGAAAUGUCUGGGCUUAACCCGGGCAUGCGGUUGAGACGUCAGUGCUGGAGUGCUGUAGAGGCAAGUGGAAUUCCCAGUGUAGCGGUGAAAUGCGUAGAUAUUGGGAAGAACGCCGGUGGCGAAGGCGACUUGCUGGGCAGCAACUGACGCUGAGGCGCGAAAGCCAGGGGAGCAAACGGGAUUAGAUACCCCUGUAGUCC
rnacentral:rRNA from 1 species